rnacentral:lncRNA from 1 species
AGGAAUUCAAGCAAAUUUUGCUUCAAAUACAAUUCCAGUCACUAUCAAAUAUCCUGGCUUAUCAUUAUCAAAAUAAUAUUAUCAAAGGAAAGCCACCCAAUUUGCAAGCUACACACUGCCAAUCUCAACUUGAUUAAAGUCAUAUUUAUAAUUAAUUAUUUUUUCUAGUUACUGGACUUUUUAAUCUUCUUGGUUGUCUCUAGGAAACCCAUCAGGCAUCCAGAACCCACAGCUCUGCCAUCAGAACUCCAUCCUGGGAACAGAAGCCGUCUAUCUGCAUCUGUAAACAUGGCCUCAUGUAGUGACGUGCAGGGAAAUGAGUGUGCCCUUGCAAUGGUUCUCAGUCCUUUCUUUAUCUCAACAUCAUGGCAUUUUAUGGCUUCCCUCAUGAGACAACUCAAUUAUUCUCACAAUUUAUCUAGAUUUCUGGAAAAAUAUGUUGGAAUGUGGCCUUCCUACCCCAUUCCCUCUGACAACAGGUUUAUUGAGGAAUAUAUUUUACUUUCAUAUUUUUAUUUCAGAGGAAAAAUUUCUCCCCAGACAUUUAUUUUCCCCAUGGUUCUCUAAGAGGGAGACAUGAAUGAGGAAACCAUAAAAUAAAAUCAGAUAAGGUGGGACACCAAGAUAAUCAUGUAGCUUGAUUUUGAUGUCUGGACCUCUUUUUAAAAGUUAAGGAAAGAACAAGUUCUUGUUCUCUUUGCAGGUAAAUCCACGGGAACCUUCUCAGUGCAGUGGUAAUACAGAGUAUAAAGUAGCCCUCCUUACUCUUAAGAGGAAAUUUUGCCUCUUCACCUUUCCAAAAGAAAUGACGGUAAUUGUUCUUUAAUUCUCAAACAACCUUAUCUUUUGGUAGCUCAAUAAUGGCAGCAUCUGGUAUAACUUGGAUGCAAGGACUGUUGGCAAGAUCACUAUAAUUUCCAAGAUUUCCAGAAAUUUUCAAUUAAGACUGUUAAAAAUAAAAAAAUACAGGAUAUGAUUUUCAAAGCUGGAAAAUAAAUGCCUGAUUAUAUGGAAUGGUCCCCUUUUGAGGAAAGAAACUGGGAAUAGUUUGGAGCACAAUUUGGCAUAAUGAAGGGAAUGUAAGGUUUAGUCCUGCAGUCACUAAUUGUAUGACUUCAGGCAAAUUACCCUUUCUAGGCCUCAGUUUCCUUAUCUGAAAAAUGGGGAUGAUAAUAAUACUGUACCUACCUCAUAGGUUGCUUUGAUGAUUAAAUGAGCCAAUACAUGUAAAGUACUUGGAAGAGCACUUGCCUCUAGUAGAGCUUGUUCUUAUUAUCAACACUACAGGAGUUACUAGGAAUACAUGAUUAAUUCUGCCUGUAGCCUUUUCAGAAGACUUAGCAUUAGAAUUUUAUUUUGAAGGGCACACCAGUGCAGGAGCAUAGGCUUUUUUCUCAAACAUCUUGAUAACACCAGAAGACAUUUGCCGAUUUCAAAUUGACAACUCAUGACAAUGUGUAAGUUCUAAGUUUCAACCCAAUACUCUUUGCCUCAAGUUGUUCUCCUUCCACUUUAGAGAAAUCAUUACUUCCUGUGUUAAGCAAAUGCCUCGAAAUCAUCUCAGAGUUCCCCCGUGAGUGAUCCUAGUUUUGAAGAGACUAUUCUCAACCCACCUGUCAAUUAUGUCAGUGUAAAGGCAUCCAGAACAUCUGUCCUGAAUUUUCCCGGACUGCACCUGGACUUCAAAAUGAUGGAAGGUGGUGAUCUAACUGUGCAGAAAACAUUGUGAAACAGG